ensembl:lncRNA
ACUCUCUCCACCUGUUUCUGCCUCAGCUUUCUUCCCCCAUAAAAAGAGGAGGGCUGGAUUAGCUGGUGAUAGUGACAGGCCUUACAUCACCCUUAAAAGCAGGCUCCUGGCGGUAACCCUGGGAGGUAGGACCCAGCAUGGGACCCAGGACGAAAGGGAGACUCUCCGGGAGACGAAGUGCCCAAGGCCGCCCAGACAGCCAAUGGCAGAUCUCCAGGCUACAAGUUGAGGGUUAGCGCAUCCUCCACCACCCCAAGGGCCAAGUGAGUGCCCAUCUGGUGCUGUGUUUGAGGACUAGCAGCUCUGCCUGAGGUGCCAUGCCCAAGCACAGGGGUAAAAUCAAGUUCUGAUGGGGAGUUAGGAGUAGCUGGGGAGAGGGCAGGGGGCAUAUCCCCCCAAAAAGAACCCAAAUUUUGACCUCUCCUGUGGGCUGGGUUGGGCCAGGCCAGGUGGCUGGGGAUGGGCACACACACCUGUGCAUUCUGCCCUUCCUGAUUUCCCAGGCAAAUGGCAUGCAAAUGAGAGCCUGCUGAAGGGAAGGGCCUGCCAGCUGCUCCACAGAUUGCUCCGGCUCCCGUGAUGGGGAUGUUGAAGGUCGUGGGAUUGGCAGCCCAUCAGUCAACAAGCCUGGAACUGAAGGCCUGUUGUUCAGCUUGUCCAAAUGCCCCAUUUUACAGAUGAAGAAACUAAGGUCCGGGGAGAUGGAGUCACUUUCCCCAAGGCACACAGGUGGUCAUCCCCAGAGGAUCGUGGCACCUCAGACCAAGAAGAGACCUGCUCGGCCAUCUGCUCCCUCCCACACCUGAACAAACAGCCAAUACACAGUAUCCGUGGCCUGUAGAAAGCUAGUUUUUGCUUCUCUCCUCCAGGUAGUAGGAGUCACUCACCUCCCCUUUUACUUCGGGAUAGGCUUCAUCACUGGGAAUUCCCCGCCCCCCCCAUGUUACAAUUAAAUUUACUUGUUGACACGACUGGGAAAUGCCAGUACAUGCCCUACCUUCUAAGCUCAGAAUUGAUCCCCCGAGUCCUCUUUCUCCUCCCUAAUCAGUCCUCCACAGAGGGGCCAAAUUGACGUUCCUACAGUUCAAGUCUGGUUGUGCCCUUCUCUUGCUCACAGAACUUCAGAGUCUCCUUCUGGAUUUAAGUACACUCUCUCCCGCCAUCUGAAUCUGAAUCCCUCCCCAGUCUGGCUCUAGGUGACCCGUCCAGGCUCAGCACACAUGUCUGCUCUGCACACACUGUGUUAGUGUUGGUGCCCAGUACUCCCCAUACAAUGCAUGACCUUCCACCCCCAUUUCUGGACCUUUACACAGCCUGUCCUCUGCACUCCAAAUACACUACCCUGCUUACUUUUGCCUCAGAAUCCAUGGACCCCUUCGAGGGUCAGCUGAGAUACCAACUUGUAAGAGGCCUCUUCUAGAAAAAGGGAAGCAAUUGAUAGGGGUGGGGGUGGAGGUUGGAUCAUUUCAUCAAAAGUCUCUGCAAAGUGUCUUCAAUCCAAGAUAUAAAGGGUACUCACAUAUGAGACCAAUAGUAAUGGAUAGCUGCUCAAAGGAUGUAAGCAAAUAGUUCUCACAAGAAGACUUGUAAAGUACUAAAAAUUGCUCGAAAUCACUAAUGAAAGGAGACAUAUAAACUGAAACAGUUCUAAGGUUUUAUCCCUGUUCAACAAAUUGGAGAUGAUGAAAAUGGGAAUCAUCAAUGUUGGUGGGGCUGUGGAAAACUAGGUGCACUGGUACAUUGUUGAUAGAGCUAUGAAUUGGUCCAAACAUUUUGGAAAGGAAUUUAGAAUUAUGCAAAUAAAGCGUGCCUACCCUUUGGACUCUAGAUUCUA